AACGAACGCUGGCGGCAUGCCUAACACAUGCAAGUCGAACGAGACCUUCGGGUCUAGUGGCGCACGGGUGCGUAACGCGUGGGAACCUGCCCUUAGGUUCGGAAUAACUCCCCGAAAGGGGUGCUAAUACCGGAUAAUGUCUUCGGACCAAAGAUUUAUCGCCUUUGGAUGGGCCCGCGUUGGAUUAGCUAGUUGGUAGGGUAAAAGCCUACCAAGGCGACGAUCCAUAGCUGGUCUGAGAGGAUGAUCAGCCACACUGGGACUGAGACACGGCCCAGACUCCUGCGGGGGGCGGCAGUGGGGAAUAUUGGGCAGUGGGCGAAAGCCUGACCCAGCAGUGCCGGGUGGGUGAUGAAGGCCUUGGGUUUGUAAAGCUCUUUUCCCCGGAAGGAUAUGGACUGUACCGGGAAAAUAAGCCCCGGCUACCCCCGU
rnacentral:rRNA from 1 species